rnacentral:rRNA from 1 species
GACGAACGCUGGCGGCGUGCUUAACACAUGCAAGUCGAACGGAAAGGCCCUGCUUUUGUGGGGUGCUCGAGUGGCGAACGGGUGAGUAACACGUGAGUAACCUGCCCUUGACUUUGGGAUAACUUCAGGAAACUGGGGCUAAUACCGGAUAGGAGCUCCUGCUGCAUGGUGGGGGUUGGAAAGUUUCGGCGGUUGGGGAUGGACUCGCGGCUUAUCAGCUUGUUGGUGGGGUAGUGGCUUACCAAGGCUUUGACGGGUAGCCGGCCUGAGAGGGUGACCGGCCACAUUGGGACUGAGAUACGGCCCAGACUCCUACGGGAGGCAGCAGUGGGGAAUAUUGCACAAUGGGCGGAAGCCUGAUGCAGCAACGCCGCGUGCGGGAUGACGGCCUUCGGGUUGUAAACCGCUUUCGCCUGUGACGAAGCGUGAGUGACGGUAAUGGGGAAAGAAGCACCGGCUAACACGUG